AUUGAACGCUAGCGGCAUGCCUUACACAUGCAAGUCGAACGGCAGCGCGGGGGNAACCCUGGUGGCGAGUGGCGAACGGGUGAGUAAUGCAUCGGAACGUGCCCAUCGGAUGGGGGAUAACUGCGCGAAAGCGUUGCUAAUACCGCAUACGACCUACGGGUGAAAGCAGGGGACCGCAAGGCCUUGCGUCGAUGGAGCGGCCGAUGCCGGAUUAGCUAGUUGGUGAGGUAAAGGCUCACCCAAGGCGACGAUCCGUAGCUGGUCUGAGAGGACGACCAGCCACACUGGGACUGAGACACGGCCCAGACUCCUACGGGAGGCAGCAGUGGGGAAUUUUGCGCAAUGGGGGAAACCCUGACGCAGCAACGCCGCGUGGAGGAUGAAGUCUCUUGGGACGUAAACUCCUUUCGAUCGGGACGAUUAUGACGGUACCGGAAGAAGAAGCCCCGGCUAACUUCGUG
rnacentral:rRNA from 1 species